GCCUGACUAGCUCAAUCGGUAGAGCGUGAGACUCUUAAGGAGGUUCUCCGUCAUCUCAAGGUUGUGGGUUCGACCCCCACGUUAGGCU
rnacentral:tRNA from 2 species